rnacentral:rRNA from 1 species
UACGGAGGGGGCUAGCGUUGUUCGGAUUCAUUGGGCGUAAAGGGUGCGUAGGCGGCGCGGUAAGUCGGGUGUGAAAUCUCGGAGCUUAACUCCGAAACUGCAUUCGAUACUGCCGUGCUUGAGGACUGGAGAGGAGACUGGAAUUUACGGUGUAGCGGUGAAAUGCGUAGAUAUCGUAAGGAAGACCAGUGGCGAAGGCGGGUCUCUGGACAGUUCCUGACGCUGAGGCACGAAGGUCAGGGGAGCAAACAGG